GUUGAGGUCUAUCCCAGUGGGGCUCUUUCUGUGGACUUACACAGUGGGAAAUGCCUCACAGAGUUAACUAUGCGGUUGCCUUUACUCACAGGACUAUGUGUCAGAUCUGUGGGGAGGAACCACAAGACAGAG